AUACAGAGGGUGCACGCGUUAAUCGGAUUUACUGGGCGUAAAGCGCGCGUAGGUGGCUAAUUAAGUCAAAUGUGAAAUCCCCGAGCUUAACUUGGGAAUUGCAUUCGAUACUGGUUAGCUAGAGUAUGGGAGAGGAUGGUAGAAUUCCAGGUGUAGCGGUGAAAUGCGUAGAGAUCUGGAGGAAUACCGAUGGCGAAGGCAGCCAUCUGGCCUAAUACUGACACUGAGGUGCGAAAGCAUGGGGAGCAAACAGGAUUAGAUACCCUGGUAGUCCAUGCCGUAAACGAUGUCUACUAGCCGUUGGGGCCCUUGAGGCUUUAGUGGCGCAGCUAACGCGAUAAGUAGACCGCCUGGGGAGUACGGUCACAAGACUAAAACUCAAAGGAAUUGACGGGG
rnacentral:rRNA from 1 species